CGGCUGUAAGACUGGUGACUAAACUUUCACUUGGCGAUUUCCGCAAGUUCCUUCUGGAGACGGCUCAGUUGCUGGAACCUGCUUCAGUUUUCUCUGCCGGUCGUUGUGAUGCCACUCCUCCAUUUCAGCUGUCGCAGGGAAGAAAAUCCUCAACUUUGACCUCUGCUCACGUCCAGUGCAGUCAAUUCUGCCUGUCUCCUACCUCCAGAAAUAUGUUUUCUGAUUUAUAACGCCCUGCCAUGAAAAUCGUACUUCCGAGGAACGAAAGGCGCCGAGACGCCACGAAUUCUGCCAGGAAGAAUAACAUUUCAAGAGUCGUUGAAAAAGAGGAACAACCUUGCUGACGUCAUUGUAAGAGUACUACGAACUACUUCAAGGCAGAUGGACACCAUCCGGCAACGUGAUCAGCGCAAGGACAGGUCUACUGAAAAAGAAUUGAGAUGGCAUCUCACCCUACCAAACCCUGGUCAGAACAAUCCUGCGGAUUGCAGAUCAUCUGCAGUGGGGUUGUGGGCCGUCAGGAGACCGUGGACCGCAGUUUGCAUUCUCCAUGUUGAGAUUCAUCCUGUCUAAGAUCUGAGGUUAUCAUGACAAUGAAGAUUUAUAAUGCAGUCUUCUGGGCUACGACACCAUGUAAUCUGUUUGCAGGUACAUUGAGCUAGCGAGUCCUGUCAGAUGGAAUUGGAGAAAAUCACGAGAGAUGAAAGAAUUGCGCGCGAAAACCAGAAGGAAAAAUGGCGUGAGAAUAAUCAGUGAAAGCGAAGAACAUAGUGGACCGACUGAAACGCAUGGUUAAUAACAGUUAGACUUGUUACAUGUAUACAUUGACUGCAGCAUUAUUCUUCGUCUACCUGGAAAACACAUUACUGCAAAACACCACGAGGACUAAAGGAACACUGCAGAGAAUAGUUACUGGAUGACAAAUUGUCAACAGAAGAGAGGUGAUGCACCAGAAAUCUUUUGCUCUGUCCUGCUUUAGCCAGUGAAGGAUGCCAGUCCAUGUGGAAACAGUUCGAGUUAACAGUCAAGGAAAUGUUAUUUCUCUCACAAACGCACUUGUCUAAAUCAUUAAGGACUGUCCACACGUAAUGAGUGUUAAAGAGUACCGACUUGGAGGGGCACUGAUGCUGCAGUUGGUGGUUGGACAGCCAGGUAAUGUAAGAGUUCAUUAGAAACUUGUGAAUACAUACAAGGGAUAAGAAGAAGGUGCGAAAUAAUCACCCACCAAACAUGGGCAAUUUGGAAGCAUAGCCAGACGUACAUAUUACAUUGUGAUGGAGAGAAUUUCAGAACUGUGUUUGUCUCACACGAACUAAUGCGUCAUUCAUUGUUACACCCCCUCGCCAC